AAGGAAAUAAGAGCAAGAGUAUUGUUGCUCCCACCAACAGGCUUCAACGGAAACGAAAUCUCUAUCCAAUGACCAUGGUGAACCACCAUGGUAAUAGCCAAAUUGAAUAAAAAAAAUUGAGUUCGGAAGUUCGAUUUUGAUUUAACAGACCUUUUCCCGGUAAGAUUCAUCUAACCCAGUUGCUACAUCUUUCAUCUUUCAUCUAUUUUUUAUAGUUGAGACCAAAAAAAAAGUUAUAUGCUUUGCCCGAAAUUUUAUGAUUCUCAUGAAUGCUUAUCCCUCUUAAUGAUUAAGAUUUUUCUACCUCUAAAUUGUAUUGUAUUGUAUAGUGCUUACUGCUAAUGUCUCUAUGAAAACAACAUGAUUUGGAUCACAUUCUUUUUCAGAUUAUCUCUCUCUAUUAAUCUCCUCCUUGCUUUAAAAUUUGAUUAUAAUAAUUCUUUGUGAUUGUGUUAUCAUGAGCAUGGUUAUUGUAUAUGUGCAUUCUACUUGGGGAUAAUGAAGAUCUUUUUAUAUUGUUUUCCAUGAUGGUCAUCUAUGUUGUAAAGGAUUGUAAUUCUCUGGCCAGCUCUAUUUUUCGUCCAUUCAGUAUUAUUGACUUCUUUCCUUUUCAAAUUUGGAUCAUAAUAUUAGUGUGUGAAUCUCAAAUUUUAGAAUGCCUAGUUGAAUUUUACUGAUUUUUGUUUCUUCCAUUAAAUCAUGAAUUGUUGUUUUCCAUAGUUAUUUUAGUAAUUAUUAAUAGACUCCUUGACUAAUUACCUUCCUUAUACUGAUUUGAGUAAUUUGAGCAAAUGAUGUUAGUGAUUUUAUAUGGCAAACAUAUAUUUAUUUGGUUUGUUUAUACUGUAUUACGAAAAAUCAAGAAUAAUUUCUUUACUUCACUGAUUGAGUGUGAUGCCUUAAUAUCUGCCCUCUAUGUUGACCUGUUAAUAAUUCGCAUACUUGAUUAAUUUAGUAAUUGUGAUUGAUUACUUUAAUUUUUUUAAUCUCUGAACCGAUUGUUCUACUUACUCAAUAUUGAUUGUGCUGUUAAGACUUGAUUUUGUCUUGCCAUUGGGUUAUUACCAUUUGUUUACAAAUUUCAUUAAUAAUUCUUGUCGGUUUUCAUAAUUAUCCGAUUAUGGUAAACUAGUAUAAUAUGUGAAUAUUGAUACUUGAAUUGGGCUGUAAUUAUCUCCUUCAUUAAAUAAUUAUUUCUUUUUGGUUGAUAAUAUUAUAAUAUCAAUUCAUGGGUUAUUUUUAUAUUUGACUGACCCUACAGUGUAAGGAAUAUGCUACAAUAACUAGACAUCAUAGACAAAAAGAGGCAACAAAAAGCAAUGUAGGCAAAUUAUUAUAAGAGUGUGGCUGAAGCGGCAACACAUCCAUGGCAAUUUGUACAUUUUCCAAAGUACAAUUGUUGCAAUAGAAGUCAAUGCAACAUGAUUUUCACCUUCCACAACAACAUUCAGUUCUGUUAAAUUCAAUUGCUAAAAUGAAGCAAAUGUUCAUUAGUUUGUGAAAACGAGGGUUGGUAAAUUUGUAUUGUACACUAGUUUGUGUAAUUAACGAAGCAGUUUUGAUUUUAUUGCUUUAGUUUUAUUAAUGUUUAGCAUGAGUAUGUAAUCUUUGUCCUUUUUAACACUAUGUGACAUGGUGUAUAAAAUUUUAAAUUAUUAUUGACUUGCUUCUGUUAGUAUUAGUGGCAAAAUAUUUUGUCACUAAAAGCUUCACUAUUAGAGACGUCUACAUCAUACUUUUUUCGUCAUAAAAGUAUAACAUUUAGUGACGAGAAUAA
rnacentral:lncRNA from 1 species